ensembl:misc_RNA Metazoa_SRP Metazoan signal recognition particle RNA
GCCGGGUGUGGUGGUGCACGCCUGUAGUUCCAGCUACUCGAAAGGCUGAGGUGGGAGGAUCACUUGAGUCCAGGAGUUCUGGGCUGCAGUGCAUUAUGCCGAUCGGGUGUCCACACUAAGUUUGGCAUCAGUAUGGUGACCUCCCAAGAGCGGGGGACCAACAGGUUGCCCAAGGAGGUGUGAACUGGCCCAGGUUGGAAAUGGAGCAGAUCAAAAUAAUUUGAUGGCUUCUUUAGUCAUUUAUAUAAGGUUGAUAGCUAGAUAUCUUUUUGUUUCUUUGAUUUUCUUUUUUU